rnacentral:rRNA from 1 species
UACGGGGGGGGCAAGCGUUGUUCGGAAUUACUGGGCGUAAAGCGUGCGUAGGUGGUUUUUUAAGUCCGUUGUGAAAGCCCUGGGCUCAACCUGGGAAUGGCAGUGGAUACUGGAAAGCUAGAGUGCGGUAGAGGGUAGUGGAAUUCCCGGUGUAGCAGUGAAAUGCGUAGAGAUCGGGAGGAACACCAGUGGCGAAGGCGGCUACCUGGACCAGCACUGACACUGAGGCACGAAAGCGUGGGGAGCAAACAGG